GCCAGCUAGCUCAGUUGGUAGAGCAUGAGAAUCUUAAUCUCAAGGUCAUGGGUCUAAGCCCCAUGCUGGGCCCA
rnacentral:tRNA from 1 species